rnacentral:lncRNA from 1 species
GCAAGGAUUUAAGCAAGUACAACCGAAUAGUGAAACUCAAUUUACUGAAAUUUUCACCCCGGGCAUAACUCUUGUUUUCCUUCCUCUAGUAAUUUGAAAAACUUCCUUGCUUCGUCAGAUUGUCUUUCCCAAGCUCCUAGUUCAUCCCCUUCCUGACCCUCUAUAUUUCUAAAUGUAUCAUGAAGCAUUCCAUCAAUAUCAUCACGCAUGUUAGAACCUUCAUCAUCAUUGCUGGGAGAAUGUGUAUUUCUCGAGGAUAAUUCCUCCCCGUGGAAAACCCAUUUGGUAUAACCAUCAACAAACCCAUGAACAACUAAAUAAUCUUCCACCACAUUUCUGUGAUGCCAAUAGCGAUUAAUGCACUUUUUACAAGGGCAUAAUAUUUCAUUUCCUUGGGCGGCUCGCUCAAAUGCCUUAUCAAGAAAAUUAUUCACCUGACCUAUAUACUCAUCCGUCCAUCUAAGGAGAUUCAUCCAACUUUUAUCACCAUAAUCCAUGGAUAUCCUAUAUAAUAUAUUCAAAUCACCAAAAUGAGUAUUCAAAGUAUACAAGGAAUUUACUUAGAAACAAGCACUUCAAGUAUGGACGCUCUGAAAGAUCCAACUGGAAUAAAAAUAAAAACAUGCAAACAAGUAGUAAGUUGUAAAUUAAGUAUGUACAUAGAAUGCAAGGUUUUACUUAGAAACAAGCACUUCAAGUGUGGACGCUCUGAAAGAUCCAACAGGAAUAAAAAUAAAAUAGGUAAACGAGCAGUAAGUUGUAAAUUAAGUCUACAGAUAGAAUGUUAAAGAUAGAAAUCAUGCUUUCGAACGCAUAUUACUAUUUUGCGUAUCAUAAGUAAAGUCCACUUAAGACGAAAACACUCCUUACCACAAUUCUCUCCAUUCACAAGGUUCAAAUUUAAACUCCUAACGAAAGGUCGAGGGAUUUCAUCUAUCUCUAUAUAGUCUUGGAUGAUA